GCAGCUACCAACUCCUACCACAGGCAUCCCUGCCCUUUGGGCUUCCCUGGAGCUGGACUGAGGGGAGCCCACCAAGGACCGCGAGCACACAGGGCAUCCCCGAGUGCUCCCGGAAAAACCUGUCAAUGAAUGCAUGAAAAAAAUAUUCAACAUCAGUGAUCAUUCGAGAGAUGCAAAUUAAAACGACACUGAAUAUCCUUUUUAUUUUUA
rnacentral:lncRNA from 1 species